CAACGAGACAGCUGCCUUCCCACAGCAGCUAUCCCAGAAAAAUCCUAAGAAAAAACCAAAGCUACCAGGCUCCUCGGCCGACAACCUAAGCUUUUUGAAGAAAGCUGUCCAGGGACGGCGGCGGCCGCCUUCCCGAGGAGCUUCCACCCCGUCAAGAUCUGACUAUUGCUCCUGGCCGUCCUAGAGACCUGUACUGCCUCUGUAAGUCCCCCUGCUGCUGGCACUCUCCUUUUGCUAACAAAAUGGCACGGGUUUGUGGCAGGGCAGAACAAUAGGGCCGGGGACAGAUUAAGCCACCUGCGGGCACAUUCUCUGCUCCUUCCUUGGCCUCAACUGCAGCACAAUGGAGGCGAUAAUGGGCCGAUUAGCAGUUCCUGGCACUGGAAGUGUCACAUUCCAGGUGAGUCCCACGUGGGAAGAGGGCGGAGGAGGCAGGAUGGGGGGCCCGCAGGGACCCCCAGCACAGGCUCGGAUUGGGCCGCAGCAGGGCUCACACAGGGGGCGUUCCAGCUGGCAUUGGAGGGCCAGGGUGUAAAAGGGCAGCACGGUGAACGAUCGAGGAGUUGCUGUUUCGUGCUUCUCGCUGCGAGGCUGCUGUUUCGUUGGUGAUGGAGAGACCAGACGAGCUGCCGGCUGCCCCUUCACCCUUCUGGUCGCUGCUGGAGCUGCUGCGGCGGGAGCCCGGCAUGGAGUGGCUGCCGAGCGGGCCCGAUGGCUGCGCUGGAUCGGGCGGCACCGGGGGCCUGGAGGCUGGCAGCGGGGAAGGAGCAGGAGAUAAGCUCAGCCGGGUUCCUGAGGAGAAUUCCUUGGGCCCUUGGCCCCUGAAGGCUCUGCUGCUACUGGAGGAUUCGAGAGAGGGACACUUAUGGCAAGUCUACCAUGAAGGCCUGAAAAACUUUCUUGGCUUUAGAGAAAGCAUGUCUCUGUCUGCAGUCUGGCCAAUUCCAGUUGAACAAAUUAGAGAGUUUCUGGUUGCCAUGGAGUCCCAGGACCAGCCUCCCAUGAAAAUAAUAACAUAUGUGGAAGGACUGUCCUUCAUCUCCAGAAUGGUAAAUCAUCCCAAUCCUCUUUCAGAUCCUCGUCUCUGUCACAUGAUGUCAAGGCUGAAACGGAGGACUAGCCAUCCAAAUGAUGAAUACUCUCCUGUAACAAUUGAAGUGUUAAGAUCUCUCCUGGGCACUCUGGAGUCUGUGUGCAGCUGUCCUUAUGAGUGUCUGUUGUAUCGUGCCAUUUUUACUGUAGCUUUUUUUGGUGUGCUCCAUAUAGGAGACAUGGUGGCAAAUCACCCAAAUAUGGCACAGCCAGACCUCCUGUACUUGAGUGACCUCCGGCUGGCAGAAGGAAGUGCAACCCUUUUUCUGCAUCCAUCUCAUAUGGGCCAACAUAGGUGCUUGGUCCGGCUGAGACUACGCAAAGAGAUGUGGGUCUGUCCUGUUGAGGCGCUCCGGACCUAUGUAAGAGCACGGCCGCCAGGGGAGGGCCCUCUCUUUGUGCACUCAGACAGCAGGGCUGUGACCAAGAGGGAGUUCCUCACUGUCUUCCGCGCCGGCCUUCGCUUUGCUGGGCUCCCUCCAAACCAGUAUGCAGUGCAUUCCUUCUGGCUGAGGAACCCUAACAGGAGCUUCUCAUGGGCAUUCCCACAAAGUGAUUAACAGAACGGCAAGGUGGUGGUGAAGAUUCUGAAAAAGACCUAUUUCUGUCUCUGAUGCACUUUCUCAGUAGAGGGAAUCUUCUGUAAUGCACAAAUUUUAUACUUCAUACAGGCUGAAUUUUCACCUCUCUGUAAAGCUAGAGAGCACAGGAGGAACAAGUGGAAGGGACUUCACACCUGUGGUGGUUUUGAGAAUGAAAUAUCAUGGUUUUAAAACUGGGACUUGUGGGGCAGUGCACGUGGUAUUCAGCAUGUUUGUUCUAUUUGCACUUUUACCUUACGUGUAAUGUGUAAUCUUACAUUAAAUGGUGU
rnacentral:lncRNA from 1 species